AAUGAACGUUGGCGGCGUGGAUUAGGCAUGCAAGUCGUGCGCGAUCUGUAGCAAUACAGUGAGAGCGGCGAAAGGGAGAGUAAUACAUAGUUAGCUACCCUCGGGACUGGGAUAGCGGCGGGAAACUGCCGGUAAUACCAGAUGACGUCUUCGGACCAAACGUGUGAACCGGCCCGAGGAGGCGACUGUGUCCUAUCAGCUUGUUGGCGGGGUAACGGCCCACCAAGGCUACGACGGGUAUGGGGCGUGAGAGCGUGCCCCCACUCACUGGGACUGAGAUACUGCCCAGACACCUACGGGAGCAG
rnacentral:rRNA from 1 species